rnacentral:rRNA from 1 species
GACGUAGGGCGCGAGCGUUGUCCGGAUUUAUUGGGCGUAAAGAGCUCGUAGGCGGCUUGUCGCGUCGUCCGUGAAAACCCACAGCUCAACUGUGGGCUUGCGGUCGAUACGGGGAGGCUAGAGUUCGGUAGGGGAGACUGGAAUUCCUGGUGUAGCGGUGAAAUGCGCAGAUAUCAGGAGGAACACCGGUGGCGAAGGCGGGUCUCUGGGCCGAUACUGACGCUGAGGAGCGAAAGCGUGGGGAGCGAACAGG